UGGGGAAUAUUGGACAAUGGGCGCAAGCCUGAUCCAGCCAUGCCGCGUGAGUGAUGAAGGCCCUAGGGUUGUAAAGCUCUUUCACCGGUGAAGAUAAUGACGGUAACCGGAGAAGAAGCCCCGGCUAACUUCGUGCCAGCAGCCGCGGUAAUACGAAGGGGGCUAGCGUUGUUCGGAUUUACUGGGCGUAAAGCGCACGUAGGCGGACUAUUAAGUCAGGGGUGAAAUCCCGGGGCUCAACCCCGGAACUGCCUUUGAUACUGGUAGUCUUGAGUUCGAGAGAGGUGUGUGGAAUUCCGAGUGUAGAGGUGAAAUUCGUAGAUAUUCGGAGGAACACCAGUGGCGAAGGCGGCUCACUGGCUCGAUACUGACGCUGAGGUGCGAAAGCGUGGGGAGCAAACAGG
rnacentral:rRNA from 1 species